UCUACGGGUGGCUGCAGUGGGGAAUAUUGGACAAUGGGCGAAAGCCUGAUCCAGCCAUGCCGCGUGUGUGAAGAAGGCCUUCGGGUUGUAAAGCACUUUCAGUGGGGAAGAAAGCCUUGGGGCUAAUACCCUCGAGGAAGGACAUCACCCACAGAAGAAGCACCGGCUAACUCCGUGCCAGCAGCCGCGGUAAUACGGAGGGUGCGAGCGUUAAUCGGAAUUACUGGGCGUAAAGCGCGCGUAGGCGGUCUGAUAAGCCGGUUGUGAAAGCCCCGGGCUCAACCUGGGAACGGCAUCCGGAACUGUCAGGCUAGAGUGCAGGAGAGGAAGGUAGAAUUCCCGGUGUAGCGGUGAAAUGCGUAGAGAUUGGGAGGAAUACCAGUGGCGAAGGCGGCCUUCUGGACUGACACUGACGCUGAGGUGCGAAAGCGUGGGUAGCAAACAGGAUUAGAUACCCCAGUAGUC
rnacentral:rRNA from 1 species